CUGAUUCAUCCAGCUGAAUGGCUGUGAUUGACUUUUUCUCCCUCUGCUGGUCUGACUCAUUAUUCGGAACGUUGUUGCUCAGUGUUAUUAUAUCUGUUGGUUUAGGAGACUGACUAUGGAAUUUCAGAAUGACUUUGCCAAUCAAAGCCACAUGGAGAGAAGUACUGGCCAAACUUCGUGAAGCAGAAUCUUCAAAAAGACAUUCCCAGCGAUUCAUUAAACAGCCUAGUAGGAACCAUACAGCUCAUACUAAAAAGGUCCUUCUUCCACAACAUGCCAAUUGUGAGCCGUGAUGAGGUGAUAAUCAGAAGCAUUAGAAAACCACAAACUCAGAUGUGAUUUUGCCCAUUUGGAUAAACGAGAAAUUUCCUUUCCAGCGAGUGCUUCUUCAAACUCAACAGUAAAAUGCAAACACAAGAAAUCAUCGGAAAUAAAAUCAAAGAAUGAGAGAGAGAGAACUAAAACUAAAUAGCAAUGUUUUAAACUUCCCACAGAAUUUGGCUUUUAAUGUUUUCUAUGCAUUUCUAUGCAUUAAGCACUUCUGA